rnacentral:rRNA from 1 species
UACAGAGGUCUCGAGCGUUGUUCGGAUUCAUUGGGCGUAAAGGGCGCGUAGGCGGCCAGCACAAGUCAGUUGUGAAAUCUCCGGGCUUAACUCGGAAAGGUCAACUGAUACUGUGCGGCUAGAGUGCGGAAGGGGCAACUGGAAUUCUCGGUGUAGCGGUGAAAUGCGUAGAUAUCGAGAGGAACACCUGCGGCGAAGGCGGGUUGCUGGGCCGACACUGACGUGAUGCGCGAAAGCCAGGGGAGCGAACGGGG